AUACUUUUUUUUUAAUGUUUUCCUGUUUAGUGUUUACAAGCACUCUAUAAACCAUUUCAACUGACUGCACAGACAACAUCAUACUAUGUAUUCUUGAUUUCUCCAACACUUGCUUAACACUACAAAUCCACAUCAAUGCGAGAGCAUUGUUUCUGGUAGAAUUACAACCCUGCCCAUAGAGCAUAACUAAUGAUAUUCGUUUAAUGUUUUCCUGUUUAGUGUUUACAAGCACUCUAUAAACCAUUUCAACUGACUGCACAGACAACAUCAUACUAUGUAUUCUUGAUUUCUCCAACACUUGCUUAACACUACAAAUCCACAUCAAUGCGAGAGCAUUGUUUCUGGUAGAAUUACAACCCUGCCCAUAGAGCAUAACUAAUGAUAUUCG
rnacentral:misc_RNA from 1 species